rnacentral:rRNA from 1 species
CGAACGCUGGCGGCGUGCUUAACACAUGCAAGUCGAACGGAAAGGCCCUGCUUUUGUGGGGUGCUCGAGUGGCGAACGGGUGAGUAACACGUGAGUAACCUGCCCUUGACUUUGGGAUAACUUCAGGAAACUGGGGCUAAUACCGGAUAGGAGCUCCUGCUGCAUGGUGGGGGUUGGAAAGUUUCGGCGGUUGGGGAUGGACUCGCGGCUUAUCAGCUUGUUGGUGGGGUAGUGGCUUACCAAGGCUUUGACGGGUAGCCGGCCUGAGAGGGUGACCGGCCACAUUGGCACUGAGAUACGGCCCAGACUCCUACGGGAGGCAGCAGUGGGGAAUAUUGCACAAUGGGCGGAAGCCUGAUGCAGCAACGCCGCGUGCGGGAUGACGGCCUUCGGGUUGUAAACCGCUUUCGCCUGUGACGAAGCGUGAGUGACGGUAAUGGGUAAAGAAGCACCGGCUAACUACGUG